rnacentral:sRNA from 1 species
CUCCGGCCCCAGUUCACCGCCAGCACACGCCUGCUUCCCGUCUGCGCGAGUCCACGCAGCUCCCCAGGCCCUUCACCAGCACAGCAGCGGCAGGCAUGGCGGCAAGUGUGGAGCAGCGCGAGGACACCAUCCAGGUGCAGGGCCAGGCCCUCUUCUUCCGAGAGGCCCGGCCCGGCAGUGGGCAGGCUCACUUCUCUGUACUGCUGCUGCAUGGUAUUCGCUUCUCCUCCGAGACCUGGCAGAACCUGGGUACACUGCACAGGCUGGCCCAGGCUGGCUACCGGGCUGUGGCCAUUGACCUGCCAGGCCAUUUCCAGCACAUAGGAGAGAGAUUGGAAACCAACGUGCAGAACUGCCAGUCCCCUGACACACUAUGCCCCACCCACUGCAGCUCAGUGCUGAAUGAACCCUGCCCAGAGGUGUCUGUAGUGAGCUUCUGCCCUAGUGACUUUUGAGCCGGCCAGGUCACAGCGCGGACACACUCGCAGGUUGCUGUGGCCCCAGCCUCGCCUGACAGAAUGAGCGGCUCGGAUGGGGGACUGGAGGA